AACAAGAGAGGUGGGUUGCUGUGAUCCACCUCUCACCAUGGAGAACACAAAAUCACAGGUCAACAAGAUGGAUGAGCGACAUUAAAGGGAGAAAAUACACUUUU